UACGUAGGGGGGCAAGGUCGUUGUCCGGAUUUAUUGGGCGUAAAGAGCUCGUAGGCGGCUCGUCGCGUCGACCGUGAAAACCCGCGGCUUAACUGCGGGCUUGCGGUUGAUACGGGCGGGCUAGAGUUCGGUAGGGGAGACUGGAAUUCCUGGUGUAGCGGUGAAAUGCGCAGAUAUCAGGAGGAACACCGGUGGCGAAGGCGGGUCUCUGGGCCGAUACUGACGCUGAGGAGCGAAAGCGUGGGGAGCGAACAGG
rnacentral:rRNA from 1 species